UAAUCGUGAACAAACAUUUAUUUGCCUCUCCUCUUAUCUUCCAUUAAGAAGUUCAUGCCUUCAGACUUCUUGCUUGGAAGGCCCCCCUUGACUCUUGGUGAGAUGCAGGGUUGCACUUGUCCAAUGCUUCACAUCAAGCAGGCUUCCCAACGUGACUGUGAUGUGUUCUCAAUCCUGUUCCAUGGCUAGCAGAGGAAACCUAAGGAACAAUGGCCUGGGAAAGGGAACUCACAAAGGGUUUUUUAUGUCAUAAGCAUCGUAAAUGCUUGAGAUCAUCAAUCCUGGGGGAUAAAUAUUAGAUUGUGCUUCAUGUUGUUAAGGAAAAGGGGGUGGGGUGGGAAUGGAGGCUUGGGGGGGAAAGAUUGGCCACAUUUCCAAAACAAAGUGUAAGGGAGGUCCC
rnacentral:lncRNA from 1 species